GGCCGGUUAGCUUAGCUGGUUAGAGUGUGGUGCUGUUAUCGACAAGGUUGCAAGUUCGAUCCCCGUACUGGCCA
rnacentral:tRNA from 1 species